UAUAAUGUUUUGACUCUUCGUCUUAUUUAAAAUUUUUUACGAUUAAUAUUUUUAUUGUUACUAGAUGAUAAAACAUGAAUAAUAUUUUAUGCGUGACUAUUUUUUUAAAGUUUUUGCAAAUUUAUCAAAUAAGACGAAUGAUCAAAUUUUGGACACAGAAA
rnacentral:pre_miRNA from 1 species